GAUGAACGCUAGCUACAGGCUUAACACAUGCAAGUCGAGGGGUAACGAGAGGAAAGCUUGCUUUCCUUGUCGACGACCGGCGCACGGGUGAGUAACGCGUAUCCAACCUGCCCCCAACUAAGGAAUAACCUUGCGAAAGUAAGACUAAUACCUUAUAAUUUCCUCAGAUGUCAUCUGACGAGGAAUAAAGAUUUAUCGGUUGUGGAUGGGGAUGCGUCUGAUUAGCUUGUUGGCGGGGUAACGGCCCACCAAGGCAACGAUCAGUAGGGUUUCUGGGAGGAAGGUCCCCCACAUUGGAAAUGAGACACGGUCCAAACUCCUACGGGGGGCAGCAGUGAGGAAUAUUGGUCAAUGGGCGAAAGCCUGAACCAGCCAAGUAGCGUGCAGGAUGACGGCCCUAUGGGCUGUAAACUGCUUUUAUACAGGAAUAAAGUUAGCCACGUGUGGUUAUUUGUAGGUACUGUAUGAAUAAGGACCGGCUAAUUCCGUGCCAGCAGCCGCCGUAA
rnacentral:rRNA from 1 species